CAACAUUGUUGCCAUGUGGAUUAGUGAAGGAUUUGUUCAUGGAAACAGCACAUGUGAUUUAGAAGCACUAGGAAAAGACUACUAUGGUGAGUUAAUAGCUAGGAACCUUAUAGAGCCGGAUCAAUUGUACUUGGACCAGGCAGUCUGCAAUAUGCAUGAUGUUGUUCGCUCAUUUGCUCAAUAUGUAUCUAGAGAUGAAGCACUGGUAGCUCAGAAAAUUGAAGUUGGCCUAACCAAUAAACUUAAUUCGCAAAAUGUUACUCGGUUAUCACUGGAAUGCAAAGAAUCAGAAUCAAAUGAGCUAGAAUGGAGUUCUCUACAAGCAAAUAGAUCACUGCGAACAUUGAUUUUAGUUGGGAAGAUGAAGAUCAACCGAGGUGAUUCGUUGUUGUCUUUUCCAUGUUUGCGGACCCUACAUAUAGAAGAUGGAAAUUUUGAUGCUUUGUCUAAAUCUUUGGUCCAACUCAAACACUUGAGGUAUUUGUCCAUAAGACGCACUGACACAUCUAGGCUGCCAAAAAGAAUUGCCAUGAUGAAAUUCUUGCAGUGCAUUAAUAUUUCUUACUGUAAAAGUUUGGUGAAGCUUCCACGUGACAUUGGAGAGUUACGGCAGCUGAGGUAUUUAAGCCUUGUUGACUCAGGAAUAAAUAGUGUACCGAAGAGUUUCGGUGGUCUAACUAAUUUGAGGUUAUUGUUGGGGUUUCCAGCCCAUGUGGAGGGUGACUGGUGCAGUUUGGAAGAACUAGGACCCCUUAACAAGCUCAUGCGUCUUGAUAUAGAUGGUCUGGAGAAUGUAUCCUCUUCCGCAUUUGCUAUAAAGGCCAGGCUUCGUGAAAAGGUGCGCCUCAGCUAUCUGGUCUUAAAGGGCACCAGUACACGUCGAGGUGCUCACAGUCACAGGUUGGUAAAAGAGGAAGAGCAGCAACAAAUCCAGAAGGUGUUUGAUGAGCUCUGCCCUCCACCCUGCUUAGAAACUCUGUGUAUUGAAGAGUACUUUAGCCAACAACUUCCAAAGUGGAUGAUGCCUACAGAAAUUUCGUCCCUUGGAAGCUUGAGGAAUCUAUGGAUGGAAGACUUGCCUUAUUGCACGGAUCUACCUGAUGGCUUGUGGCAGCUCCCCAGCUUGGAGUUCCUACAAAUUAGAAGCGCCCCAGGCAUCAAGCGUGUUGGGCCAGAGUUCGUACUACCACACCAUCAUGAGCACCCAAGCCCUAUGGAAAACGUUGGUUCUGAUUUGGAAAUUGAGGUGGAUGAAUGUUCUGGCCUCGAGAGGAUCAGCAAUCUGCCAAAUUUGCAGAGCCUCGUGAUCUUUAGAUGCCCAGGGUUGAAGGUACUAGAGGGUUUGCCUGCACUUCAGAGACUCGGGCUGGAGGACUACGACAUGGAAACACUCCCGGGAUACGUGCGGAACGUAAACCCAAGGGAUUUGCAUCUAGACUGCGACAUCUCACUGCUAGCUUCCAUAGCUAAAGGGAAAUCUAGCCCCGAGUGGGACAAGUUCAGCCAUAUCAAGCAUGUGAAGGCAUAUGCAGAUGACGACGACAACAACAUUGAAAGGAAGUGGUACGUCAAGUACACGAGAGAUCCUUUCAGCUUUAAGACAAACAUCAGCCUCCCUGCUGACGCCUCAGGUAAAUUAACACACCUGCUGCUUUAUACGUUGCCAACUUAGUAUGUACAUUUCAUGCUAUUGGAAUAUCUCGUCACUUGACUGGAUGUGCCGUUUAAUUUCAGGGGAUGAAACGGAGGAAGUGUUGUUGGACGAAGUGGAGGAAACUUCAAGGAAUGAAAUCGUAGAAGAACAUGUCAAUGUGGAACAACUGAGGGAGUAAUCGAUCGAGUAUGCUACUACAACUUGUUACUAGUUGCUUGUUAAGCUGUGUCUAACACUGUCAAUUAUAUAACGCAUAUGGACGACCUUGCCUGCACAGGUGGAGUGUCCGUCUGUGACCUAUAUGGACAGAAGGAUCCUUGGAGUGGCCAUCACCUUGACUGAAGAAGUAUCAAUGCAGACUUUGUGUUGCGAUUUUGUUCGCUACUGUUAGACUACAUUUCAUUUUGAGGCGGUCAGAUAUUCGACAUUGCAAAUAAAAAGAGACUGGAAUGUCAUGUGAACUUGUUCCUUAAUUUUUCUUCAGUGAUUUGUGUGCGCAUUACUGUUCUAUUCUGAUGCAGUUUACCAGUUGUGAACUGAGAGGCCUGUAUGUAUGUAAGUUGACUAGUUACAGAACAAACUAAUGUUAUGGUACAGCUUCAUUAAGAAGCUUGCUGAUUCAUGGUGAUAUAUCUAUAAUCUAUAACUCUUAUAAAGCAAAACUUCGCUAGCUAUUUCUCAUGGCAUGUAAUGCGUCCACCUCAGUAAUCCACUAUCAUUUGUCACUAGUAAUUUCUCUUGACUUGUAAGGUGUCCAUCUUAGCAUUCCAUUAUCAUUUGCAAUUAAAGUUCACUAGCAGUAUAAUAUCCACGUCAGCGAGAUACACCAUUCACUAUAGAUACAAUCUCCACGAUUAUGCUAAUAAAUCUAUAUAUAUUAUAUCAUAUUCUUGUAUUAUCAACACCAUAUAUACAGCUUCCUCCAUACUCAUGGCAACCCGUGGGGAAUCUUUCUUGUUCUGUAAAUGCAACUUGCUAGUAACUGAAUGUAUAUAACACGGUUCACCGAAUUUUUGGAUUUUGUCAAGACUCCAAGUGGGUGUUUGAGGCUGUGAACUACUUCUAUAUAUCAAGGCACGUAACAUAACCGAUAAAUAAUCCAUUGCACAACGUGUUCACUCCUGAAUCAAUAAUGACUAGCAACUUAUUUAAUUAUUAGUAGAGGCUUGAAACUUCUCUAUGCAGUUGCCAAUAAUAUUUAUUUCUCUAUGGUCGAAUCUUAGCUUGCAUAAGGGACCAGCCGGAGAAAAUGCAGUUUUUUGACGGUUUUCAUCUGAUACCUAAAUAAAAUAGGACAUAUAAGAAUUUCUCAGAGUACUGCUAGUUUGCUACUACUCCCUCCGUCCAUAAAAAUAUAAUUCUCACAUUUCGAGAAGUCAAACAGUUUUAACUUUGACUGAAAUUAUAUAAAAAUAUACUAACACUAAUGAGAUAAAAUAAGUAUCAUUAUAUUAGUUACAGAGUAUACUUUUAUAAUAAAUUUAUUUCAAGACUUGCUAAUAUUAUUUACUAUAAACCUGCUCAAAGUUAGAAUCGUUGACUGACAAGUUUCUCAUAAUUGCAUUCUUUUUCGGACAGAGGUAGUGCAUGCUAGCCAUCGAGGAGCGCGGGAGCAGCCUCCCCAGCGGCGGCCAGCUCGGCUCUCGCCUAGGCGACGAAGGAAGGGGCCCGCGUGCCUAGCUCGGUGGCUAGGUCGGCGCUCGCCCAAGUGGUGACGAGAGUGGGCCCGCAUGCCCCAGCGAUGGGCGUUCCACUGGCAGGAGCUUCCCAAGCAGAGUGGGAGCCGGGGCUGGGGCUGGGCCAAAAGGCGUUCCUCCAUUGUGCGAUGGUCCACUCGUCACUGCUUCCCCUGGCCUCAGAUUCGAUGGAAUAGGUUUCCGGAUCUAGUGACGACCCGGUCAGGCCCCCGCGCACGCACGCCGGCUAGGUCAGGCUAGGGCUAAGUGGUCUGUGUCGCGCAUAGAAGACAGAUCUAGUGGAUCCAAGGCAGAGACAGUGAGGCCCCGUGCCCCUACGCACGCAAGCCGACUAGGCCAGACAGCAAUUGGGUGGCCGUGGCCACAGUCGGAAGGCGAUGGACCACACAGGCCUUCCAUCUUCUCUCAGUAGCAAUUCAGGGCUAGGGCAGCGGCGGCUGACGGCUGGGCAUGCUAGACUACGGUGGCAGCUGGGCAGACAACUUCUUCAUUGUCCUCAUCGCCACCGUCUCGGUCAACCUCCUCAGCGGUGGCAGCAACUCUAUGGGUAGCGGUGGCCUGAAGGAGGUGGAUCCCAUCAGCAACGGCUGGCCUAGAGGUAGCAGAUGUCUAGGAGUCCAGAUGGAAGAGGUUAUCCUUGGGCAGCGAUAGAGAACUCUGGCAGAGGUGACGCCCAUUCCAAUGACGGUGGCUGCCCUAUGGACGGCGGAGGCCUGAUCAGCGGUGGCGGCAACCCUUUGGGCACCGAUAGCCUGAAGGAGGCGGAUCCCAUCGACAGUGGCUACCCUAGAGGUAGCAGAUGUCUGGGAGUCCAGGCGGAAGAGGUUAUCCUUGGCGUCAGUGACAAAGAACUCUAGCAGAGGUGACGCCCAUUCCAAUGAUGGUGGCUGCCCUAUGGGCAGCGAAUGCCUUGGAGCCUAGCAAAGUAGAAGUGGAUCCUGUUUGCCUUGCAAUGGCGUAAUCUAGGGGCGGCGACAACUUCGACUUCCUCUCGCUUAAUCUAGCUAUUUUAGAAGAGGAUGCCAAGAAGCAGGGACGUGCCAAGAUCAUUGUUUUUUUGUUGUUGUUGUGUUGUUUUCUCCUCUUUGUUAAGGUGUGAAUCUAAGUGUUCUUGUAUCUGGUCGCUCUCUCCCAAGUGCGACAUGGGCGGCGGCGCCGUUGCCCCGUCCUCGGGUUCCUCCCCCGCACCCUUCCCGGUCUGGCCGCUGCCCGAGCUCGCCGUCGGGAAUCCGGUGGAGGGCAAGGACGGCAGCGGACGGGCGUCUUUCUCCCUCUCCAUGCCCCCGUCGUUCUCUCCCCCUCCCCUCUCUCCUUCAGUGCCGGCGACCGCCGGGCGGCGUGGGGGUCAAUCCGGCUCCUCCGCGGCCGGAUCCGGCAUCCCCAUGGCCAGAUCGGGCUCCCCCACAAUUGGUGCGGCUAGAUCGGCCAGCGGCGGACCAACCUAGGGUUGGUGCGGCAAAUCGCCCGGCGGUGCUGUGAGGUGACGGCCUACUCGACGGUGGCGGCCGAUCUGGCUCGCCCCCCGGUGGGCUCGGUGACGCGGACGGCGGCACCAUUCCUCGAUGCCCGGCGUUCCCGCACCGGUGAAGGGGUCUGGCGGCGGCGGGUGCAUCUGGGUAUCUCAAGCCUGGAUCCGCCGGCUGCUUACCCCGUAUUGCCCCCUUCUCGGUGCGGGUGGUGCUCCGGCGAUGCGGACUCGGGCGGCCGUUGCCUCGGGUCGGGGACAUUUCCCCGGCGGCGACUGGGGGGUCGAUUUGGACUCCCGGGCACCGGAUGGCGAUGGCGGUGUUGGCACCGGCCAUCUCGACAAGCCGGCCAACCCGCCCUCCCACGCGGUCGUGGCCUGGAUCAACUGCACCAAGCACUCGGCUUAAGACCACGCCGCUCCCAGGCGGCCCGCAAAUCGGCUCUGACAUCCACAUCAAAGGACAUCGUCGCCCCCUGCUUUUCUACUGCCUCGCUGCAUCUGGUGAAGACCCUGCCGUUCAUCCCCGUUAUCUCGUCAUUUGCAGGUUCGGCAUGGAUGUGAGGAUCUUGGAAUACAGGUGAAAACCCUGCCUGGCGGGUGCUGGACUGGCGGUGAUGACGCAUCAACGUCAUCUUCCUCCUUGGAGGCGUCACUGUAAUUCCCUCUUCCUUUCGUUGAUGAUGGCGUCUGCGGACGUCAUUCACCUUCUUGAAGGCAUCAACACAAGCACACCUGCUCCUAGCCAUGCCCUGCACUACGACAUUUGGGACUCAGCUGCGGCGCCAAGAGAAAGCCAAGGAUGCCCUCUCGUUAAUCAAAUAGAGGGUCGAAGCAUUUGCUGUAAUGUCCUGGUCUAUGUAUAAAACUAUGGCUUUUCUAUCUUUUGUUUUUUCUAUCUCCUUUUGUAACAAUUGGCUGUGUACAUCUCCGGAUGUAGAGGCCGAAUAUUGAAUAUCCUUUAUCGAAAAAAGUGUUCUUGUAUCUUUUUGGCUACAUAUAUCCUUCGUGGUUAUAAAGGCUGUAUUAUUAAUUAAAAUACACUAUCUCGAAAAACAUGCGAACCAUCCAAGGUUAUCAAUUAUGGGCCAUCACGUAGACAUGAUGUAAUCUUGUUUAUGGGCCGAGAGCGGAGCAUCUGCAAGAUCCAUACACCUCGGCGUGACAUACGUUGCUCAAAACAAAAAAAAAGCUAGGCAUGACAUAUAUACUAUGUUGAGAGUCCACUAAAAAAUAAAAUAAAAAAAAAACCUUGUUGAUGAUAGAGGCGUGGUAUAUGAUAAGAUCAAUCUUAACGAUGGUUUUAUGACCUAGUUUUAAACAAACAAGCAAAAUGCAUGCACUGGCCACAUUGGUGCGCUGGGUGCUGAUGGUGCGGUGGGCGGACGCGUUGGAAACCCACCGGUUAGAAAAAUGUGUAAAGAGAGUGACCAAGUUCGAGCCUUUCAUGGGAACAACUCGAGUGCCAUGAUUGGUUGCAGUUUUAUACAAACAGUAAAGUCAUCGCGGCAAAGCCAUCGAUGUAUAUAGAACAUAGAAGAGAUAUGCUUUCACACAUCGGUGAAUAAUGUAUACAGAAGGUAGCAACAUGUUUAUUAAUCAAAAAAAAGGUAGCAACAUCUAUAUGGUGAGGCGGUUAAAACUCGUCCAUGACAUAUAGGUACGUAGAUAUAUAGGCUUACGUCCACCUCGAACAAACAUGAAACAUAAUUCUGAGAACAGAUGUGAGGCAUCCCAAAAUAAAUAUAAAAGAUGCAUGCUUUCUUCCUCCCAGGCAACUGACUUUAUUUCCCUUCUCUUUGUGACGGCCUUGCGUACUUGCGUUUUUCAGGACAUCUGUUCAUUUAGUCCUACAAAAUACAGAAAAGCGAAGUAGUAUAAGAAGAGCACGACGAGCUCCUACAACAUGUUUUACUUACCAUCUUUCUCGGGAUAUCUUUACUUUGAGAACAAGGCCUUACUUUAAGUCCUACUAUGUAGUGUGCCCAUGCGUUGCUACGGGAUAGCAACAUUUUGUACUAAAACAUAUGGAUCGCAUGAUAAGAUAACAAUACUGUAAAAAUUAAAUACCAAUGUUAAAUUGACAGUUAAUUUAAAAAACAAAGUUUGUGAAAUUAACGGUCACAGAGAUCGCAGCAUCGCAGACUCACAAACUCUACUUUUUAGAUAUUUCUAUGAUACGGCUAAGAACUGCAUAAUGAUCGGAAGAAACCCGGCACGUACCAUUCGUCCAGGUCCAACUCCAACAUCCGGAUCCUCCAUACGAUGCUGAUGCUGCUGCUCCACCUUUCUCGACCCAACUAAUGAUUUUGAGCCACUUCACAGAGAUGCCCAUCGUGCCGCCAACAACCAGUCACCUCAACUGCAUUUUUCUCGUUUUUUUAGCACCCGCAUAAAACUGCAGCACAAUGUCACAAGACGGGAGAGAGAGGGGGGGGGGGGGGAGGGUGGGUUUGCUCACAUUACUUAUCCAGUCCAAAUUUAGCCAAGAACUCUACCUGCAGAUCACGGGGAUGCUAGGGGCCACCUGAAACUAACAGCUUCCUUCGUUGUAUAGAAUGUUUGUUGGAUGGAGUUUCAUCAAACAGACUCCAACUUAAUAAAAGAGGAUCCACUUUUAGUCUCUACAUAAGCAUAUAGACAAGUUGUAUAGGUAACAGAGAAAAGUCUGCUAUUUAUUUGAUAGAUCAAGCAAAGAUAUCUAAUCACGAAUGAACCAUGGGAUUGCGUAAUCAUCUAAAUAUAUGCAAGCAUUUAGUUGCAUGUUCCAGACUGCACUGCUAGAUAGCUCUAUUUAGUCUACAUGUCAUUCUUAGUUCUAUUUACCUCCAAAUUGGUAUCUGCUAGGAUGCACAUCAUAGCUCCAGAUUGGCUAUCUAUGAGACCUCAAGAGGAAAGGAAUAAUUCUAUGUGUAAGCCAUCUCAUCAACUCAGAAAUUAAGAUAGUGCUAUUAAUAGCUGAGAAAGUAAAAGCCAACAAAUUUGGCACUAUAUUUUGUCUCCAGAAAUUCCUUGUACCAUGACCCCAUUAUUCUUGGUAUUGGUGGUGAGAGCAAGAGUGAUCACCUCAUAGAUAUGUUUAUAGAAACCUGAACAAUAAAACACAACACAGAGGUUCAGUCACAGGUUCGCGGUCCUAUUUCACCUGCUACAUGGUACUGCCUCAUAGUACAAGCAUUUAGGCAAAUUUUGGAAUCAAUUAGGAUGAUAUCUGGUCAUGGUUAGGAAAGUUUUGCAGGCAAGCAUGCGUACGGAGGUAUUGGUGAUUUAAGAAUACUUGUUAGAUUUCACUACUUGAGUUGAUAGUUUCUCAUAAUUGUGUUUCCAUGACAAACUCAGAGCAGAUAGCAAAGAUAAUGACUCAACAAAGCAAGCUAACAAGCUAACACAUCUAGUACUUGUACAUUUAGAUAUCUCAAUUUCAUUUUCUGAACAUCCAGAAAUAUAAUUUUAAGUUCAUUUUCUGAACAACAAGAGUUACUGUAGCUUUUAAAUUGGUCAACAAAUUAAAUUUUCAAGUCAUAAGCCAAGCUCAAGAACAAUAUAGUGAAGUUGUUGGCAUCAAAGUUCUGCCGAGGUUUGCAAAUUCAGCAAAAGCAAGAUUAGCAAAUCAAUAUAUGUUGAAGUAAUAGUCUGCAAAUUUACAGCCAUUCGAUUUCAAUACUUUCAUAUAAUUCAACUUGCAAAUUUGAUAACACAAACCACUACCUAUCAGUACUAUGGUUGGUUAACACACAAGGGUAGAGCUUAGCGGAAACAAUGGAAAAAAAAGUUUGAACAGAGCAGUAAAUUAAAGCAGGCGGCGCAAGGUCUCACAUCAGUUCCUAGAUAUGACAUCUGCAUUUUGGACAAUAAAUCGGGUCCCCAAUAUAUCUAUCUAAACUCAUAUCGAUCCAAACAUAAGCUCAAAGUCUGGUAUAAAAGUGGAACAAUCUUAAAAUGUGUGAACGGAUUGGGAUGAGAUAGGUAUGGUGGCAGCUGUCGGUAAACAACCUGGUAUGUGCAACUGGCGAUGACAACAGCGAAGCUAUCGGGGGAAGUCGAUGUUGGGUCACCGCGCCACGAGGCCGGUGCCUCAUCCUGCGCCAUCGCCGCAGCCCGCGUUGGUGCCGCAUCCUGUGCGACCGCUUGCUCUGGUGCCGCAUCGAACACCCCUGCCACCGUGCAUAUAGGACUUCCAAGACCCUAAUUUGGACAUCAAAACUUUUUCCCAAAAAUUUGGAGCCCUGAAACCCGAUCCGAGACAUAAAUCAGCAGAUAAAUACAUGCUCCGACCUCCGGCAUGCACACGCCGCUGGACAUGGCGGCGCCUAUGCUAGUGGGACGUCGCGUCGCCUGUGCCACCGGGAUGUUGCGUCGCCUAAAGCCACCAGGAUGACACGCCACCUCCGCUGCUGAGACGCUAGGCGCGGCGACCGGAGGGUCGCAGCGGGUCGCAGUCGCCACCGGCGUUCGCGGCACGGGCAGCAGGCACCGGCGCAGCCGCUCGAGCAGCGGGCGCGCGGCGACCGGCGUGCGUGGUGCGCGGGCAGCGCGGCGCGGGCCGACGAGCGGGCACGCGGGAGUUCGCGCGGGCAACACGGCCACCAGAGUCCGCGCGGGCGCGCGCAGCGCGGUCGCUCGGCAACCGGAGAUCGAGAGGAGGGCCACCAAAGUCCGCGUGGACGCGGCACGGUCGCUCGGCCACCGGAGAUCGAAAGGAGCGGGCACCGGCGCGGCCGCUCGCUCGGCUACCGGAGAUAGAGAGGAGCGGGCACCAGCGCGACCGCGCGAGCAGCGGGCGCGCGGCGGGGGCGCGGCCACCGGCGUGCGCGGUGCACGGGCAGCUGCGUGGAUCGAGAGGAGGGAGAUAAAUGCGAGCAGGAGGAAGGAAUGGCGAGCGGGACGGGAAGAAGAGAAGGAAUAUAUGUUUCCUAUAAUAUGAGCCGUGGGUCGCGUUCGCAGGUGGCGAGGAGGCAGACGGACGAAACUAUUGCUGCACCAAAAAAAUGUCCAUCUUUUACUCUUUUUAGUUGUAGGAGAUACCGCAUAGAGAAAAGCAUGACCAGCUUGUAUAUCUUCCUUGCUUCUAGCUCCAACAUGCUUUGUCGUACGUUUCCAAUUCUCAAUGGCCAAAAGCAAAAGCCCUCAGAUCAGGAUGGAUCCCUGCAAAGCCCCUAGAUCAACAUGAAGGUGAAUGUAGGUAUAAUGUACCCAAAUUAUUGGCAAAUGCCCUUAAACAGGGAAUGACAACAUAUUUUUAUGCAUUUAUCUUGUGGGGGUGCCCUGUUUCCCAUCUCCAAGAUUUGUACAACGUGACCUUGAUUACUCCACCUAGCGGUGAUAGAAAAGCCAAUUCGACAUUCACUCGUUCGUCCAUUCUAUAUAGGAUCUCUUAACAAUCAGUUUCAUCAACCCUGAAAAACCGCUGGCAUAAAUUACAUUUGCACUAUCAGUUUACUUAAGACAACCACAGAUGGAAAUAGUGAAUUUAAACUGGUGAUUUCCAUUAAACAACCACCAAUGUAAAAUACACUAUUUACGCCAACGGUUUUCUUAACAAACUGCCGGUGUGAACCCAUUUGCACUAGCGGUUCUUGAUCCAGGCCCACAUAUUUUACACUAGUGGCGCUUGCUUCUUAUGAACCGCCAGCGAAAAAAUCGCUGUCAUCAAGAAAUUUAGAUUAUGUUCUAGUGCUUACCUCAAACUCAAAUGAAAACAUGAAAAAAAAUUAAGAACAAAUGGACGAAAAAUAAAAAGCUUUACCUUGUCAAUCAAAGGAAUACGUGCUCCAUGCAUGUUCGCAUGUGACGCAUCACGCAUCCGAAAGGUAAAAGAUGCACGCCUUCGAAUUCCUCCCUGCUGGCAACUGGCUUUAAUUACCUUCUUUAAUUAAUCCGUGCAACGGCUCUGAUCAACCUCAGGGCAUCUUUAGUUAGAUCAAACGUUCAGGUAGCUGGGUGCGGCUGCGCCACAGCAUUUAUAUAUAUUCCUUGCUUGUCGCUGCAACAUAUGCUUUGUCAUUUCGCAUUCCAGUGGCCAAAAGCAAAAACCCUCCAGAUGAGAUCAGGAUGGAUCCCUUCGCAGCCUAAAGCAAGCAACAUGCUUCCAACGGCGUGGUCUAAAGCAAAAGCAGUGAGGGUACAUUCCUUCCUGGGCGCAGCAAGCACGCCCUGCCCCCUGUGACCUUAUUUGGAUGGACAUAUAUUCAUCUUAAUCCAUAUAUAUUGAAUUAGAUCAGAUCCGAGUGAAAUUAAACUAAGUUCUAUUCCAAUCCACUCAAACAAAUGUGGAUUGAAGUGGAUAUAUACGCAUACAUCCAAACAAGGCCUGACCCGUCUGAAAAUAUAUCCAAGCUUCCCGAUAGAUACAAUACAUGCAGCCUCUAUGUCUAUAAAGCAGGCCUCCUAUAGCUGCUUCUUCACGUCUGAUACCCCCACCAUAUCGCUUUCAUUCAUUCAUGUCACACACAUCACUGCUGCGCUGAUCCAUCCGUCGAUCUGACAUCAGAGCCAACUGCCAAGCUUGCAAACUCGUCGAUCAUCUCGCUCUGUGUGACUGUAAGCACUCAACAUUAGUUUAGCAUGUACUUCUCCUCGAUCUGUUUCUUUUCCUUUUAUUUCAAAUAAUGAAAUAGAAUUGCCCUCCAUAGAGGUCGCAUUGAACCAACCACUGAUGAUAAUAAGGUAUUUUUGUUUUAUUUGCAGAGUUGCAUUGAUUGCUUCCAUUCGUUGUGAUUCUAACCCAACAUCAAUUUUCUCAUAUUUGUUCAACGAACCACGAACAUACCAAUCAUCGUGGUUUCCAGUAAUACAAAAAUUGUAUGUUGCCCCCUUCCUCUAUCGCCGUCUGGUUUGCUUGAUUCAUCUGCUUCAUCUGUUGAUCGAACCAUCCGCUCUGUUGAUCUGUUCUCAGGGCACGUGGGUCCGUUCGGUGCCAGGUGCCAGCGGGUGAACUCCUCGAUCAUCUUGUUCUGUAAAUGUAAGCACUCCAUAUUCAGCACUGCUCGAUCUGUUAUUCGUUUCAAAUAAAUAAUACUAGUUAUUCGUAAUUUCAGAGUUGAUUGCAACCAUCCGUUGUCAUUCAAACUCAAUCUUUCCAUAUUUGUUUGGAUAAGAACGAUAUCUGUCAUCAUGGUUUCCAGUUAAACAAAAAAUUGUAUGUUGUCCCCAUGUCUGUUCUGUUCUGGUGUGGCUGAUUCUCAUGUGCUUCAUUUGUUGAUAUUAUAAAAGAUUUUUAUCCACAAGACCAUAGGACAGUCAGAAAGAGCAGAUUUGUGCACCUGUAUUGUACUCAUUGAAAUAGUCAUAGACACGUUGUGAAAAAACAUUGUUUGCUUGGGUGUGCUGGAGACACAAAAUAUAGAAUCAUGGUGUCCAGUGGACAAAAUCGAUGAAUGAAGUGUGCUACGCACAAAUCUGCCUUGUGUUGCAGAUAAAACUAAAAUCCCUAGCUAUGUACACUAAAAAGAUUUACAGUGACCUAGGUGGGCACGAAUUUCAACCGCCUCAGUUAAUGCCUGGCAUUAACCAAGCCGGUCAUUUUUAUUAACCGAGGCAGUUACAAAAAUCACCUCGCAAAAUUUAUUAACCGAGGUAGAUAUACUAAUGUAACCAUAUCGAUAAAUCAUUAACCAAGGUGGACAUUUUAACUCCAACCGCCUCGGUAAAUCAGGACUAGCCCACCAGCCCAAGAGGCCCAGUUCUGAAGUCACAUAGAUAUACAAGAGACUAGGGUUUCAGCCUCAGCCGCACUCCUCUCCCCAAGCGGAACUUCUCUCCCUCCCACCUCGCACAGUCGCACUGCUCUAUCACCUCACACAUACAAAACAACUCCUAAAGCGGCUAGACAUGCUGGUUAUUGACAUAGUUAUGAUUAGAAAUAAAUAUAUAUUGUCAUAUUAAUGUAAAUAUUAAUUUAUAUUUUGAACUCCAUGAUCAUCAUAAAAUAAAUUAGUUUUAAAAUUCUAUAAAAACAAUAAAACAAACUAAACAAAAAUAUAUAAUAUUAUUGUCAUUGUUUGUUACAUGUUAACAGUUUUUUCCCCUGUUGUAACACAUGGGCAUAUUUGCUAGUAAUUGAUAAUGAGAACUUUUACUAGCAAAUAAACACCAAUAUUAGUUCAUCAAGAUUCAAAUAACUUCGAGCUAGAAUGAUAAGAUAGAGCAUGAUUUAGGAAAAAAAUAAAGUAUUUUUGUAACUUUUUGUGCUAAAACUAAUUUUCUACGAAUUUUAUAAGAUUUAUAAUUCCAUUUUUGGAAAAGUCACUUUUUAUUGUAGGAUUUAUAAAUAAUUCCAUUUUAUAAGUUUCUUUUUAUAAGAUUUAUAAUUUUGUUCCAAUAUUGUAGGAUUUAUAAUUCCAUUUUUUCAUUCAAAAUAUCAGGAUACAUUUUUGGAAAAGUUACUUUUUAUGAAUUUUGGUCAAUUUUAGAAAAUAAAUUUUAUCCUGAUACUUUGAUUUUAAUGAUAAGAUAUCCUGAUUUGUAAAUUUUAAUUAUGAAUCAUAAUUAAAGCUGUCCAGGGUGAGUUCAAAUGGUUUUGAAAGUUGAGCGGCUGAGAGGGGACCACAAAAAUUGAGGAAGUUAAAUGACUUUUUACUUAGAAAAGCCGACCUUUCUUGAACCUCCAAAGACAGGACACACACCUUCCGAUCAUGAAAUGCAUAAAAGAAGCCUACAGGAAAAAAAAAACUGCCCUUGGAGCCCGGCCGCAUGCAGGUAGACGCAGCUAGUACAUUUGGGGUAGUUCAGGCACUUCCUCCAUCCUAAAUUAUAAGUCAUUUUAAAAAUUUUAGAGAUUUAAAUCAUCCUAAGUUUAAUAAAAUUUAGAUGAUAAAAUAAUAAUAUUUAUGAUACCAACUAAGUAUCAUUAGGUUUUUCGUUAAUUAUAUUUUCAUAGUAUAUCCAUUUGAUCUCAUAAAUCUUUAUAAUUUUUUCUAUAAUUUUGAUGAAACUUGAGAUGUUUUGACUCUCCAAAGUUCUUGCAAUGCCUUAUAAUUUAGGAUGGAGGGAGUAGUUUACCAAUAAAUAGCUAGAUGGAGCUUAGAAAUAAUAAUAAAAAAUAUUAUAAUAAGAGUUAUGUAAGCCAUGAGAAAGUUAUUUUUAGGAGAUCGUGGUAGACUAGCUAUUUAACUGUCAUUAGUUAUUUCUUCUGUCUCCUUGAUAGGUAAUAGAAUUCUUCGUGGACUAGUUAUGUGACGCCCUUAUACUUGAAAACCGUAUCCUCAUUGCUUCAAAAAUAACUUGCAAUAGUUGUAUUGAAAACCGAUAUCCAUCUAGUUAUGUAAGCUAUGAGAAAGUUAUUUUUGAAGCAACCCAUAUCCUACGGUUUCUUGCAAUAGUUGUAUUGAAAACUCCAUAAUUGUUUCAUAUAAAGUUAGAUCAAGAUGUUUUAUAAAAAAAAUAUUGAGCGUGAUGCGAUCUAACUUUAUAGUCCACAAAUUUUGUAUUUGAUGAAGCUGUUCAGAGUAAAAGAAUUAGUCUGUCUGCCACUAGUCCACUACCAGCUCAGUUAACUAGGCGGCCAUGCGCAACAAUAAGGUCGCCUUGAGUUUCCCACACACCUCAUGUCUCCUAGCUCCCUUCUAUGUUUAAGCUGAUUCAUCAAGCUCAUCCGCCCCAAUCCAUCAAGCAGACAGUAGCCACGCCAAGCUUUCCGACCAUCUCAAACCUUACUUCCAGUUCCAUCCAGCCAUCGCUCAACAGGACCACAAGAUACCAAUUCGUCCUCGUUGAUAUGUACUAUUAUACAUAUAUCAAUCGCAAAUCUAACAAUUCGUCCUCUUGCUUUACUCCCAACAAGACCACAAGAGACCAAGGAACUGAAGGACACAGAGCACUCUGUGUUCCCGCUAAAAAUCAAGCUUUAUAAGGUGCAUACAUACUCCUCUUUCUUUCCUUCUUUGUUUCUCUGUAUUUUUGUUUCUUCCACGUACGGGCUGAGAUUGGUGUAGCUGUGCUCUCAAUUUUUAGGUGCCCCACUAUAUAAUAUGUAUAGUAACAUGCAUCGUCCAUGUAUCAGACUUCAUGAUAAUAUGAUAUUGACGUCUGAUACCCAUUAAUUUGUCAACUCCGUGCUUUUAGCUUCUGUUACUAUGUGCCAGAUCUGGAAUCCAAAAGUGGAUAGCCAACCAGAUCUGGUGUCAACCAACUGCUGCAGAGCUUCCUUUAAUUUGAAUAGUGCCAAGAUUAAUUACAGGGGGGCUCGAUUGACGAUUUUACCAUCAAGACUAAUUUUCAUUUAAACAAAUCACAUGACAUUUUUAUCUAUAUUGAUUUUGUAGAUACAGAACCUGCAAUGGCUGUGGUAUUGGAUGCUUUGGCAUCCUAUCUGCAAGAUAUGCUGGUGGAGAUGGUUGAAGAAGAGGUGCAUCUGCUCUUGGGUGUUCCCGAUGAGAUAGAAAAGAUGGGCAUCAAGCUCGGGGACCUCAAGAGGUUCCUUGCUGAUGCUGACAAGAGGAACAUUAGAGACGAGACUGUGCAGUCAUGGGUCAGAGAGCUUAGAAAUGCCAUGUAUGAUGCCACCAAUAUCCUUGAUUUGUGCCAGCUCAAUGCCAUGGAACGGGGUCCGACCAAGGAUAUGGGUUGCUUCAAUCCCUUGCUCUUUUGUAUAAGGAACCCUCUCUAUGCUCAUGACAUUGGUAAUCGCAUCAAAAGCCUUAAUAAGAGGCUAGAUGACAUUGAGAAGCGUAGCAAAGCCUUCAACUUCAACCUUGCAUCUUAUGAGGACAACACGAGAAUGGUAGAAUCCUCCCUUCGCGCUAGGCGGGAGACGACGGGGGAGGAUGAGUUUGGUGUGGUUGGUGUGAAGAUUGAGGAGGACACUAGAAGUCUUGUGGAUUUGCUCAUACAGAAGGAGAAAAAUGUACAUGAACACAAAAAUGUUAUGGUUUAUGCUAUUGUGGGAGUUGGGGGGAUUGGCAAAACCACCCUUGCCAAGAAGAUCUUUAAUCAUGACUUCAUCAAACAAGAGUAUGAAAAGAGAAUAUGGUUGAGUGUCAAUAAAGAAUUUAAUGACAUUGAUCUAUUAGAGAGAGCUAUCACUGAAGCACAAGGAGACCUUCAAGCAGCGAGAAACACAAAGGCUGCACUAGAGCGAACCCUUAAGGAAGCCUUGAAGGGGUGCAAGACCUUGUUGGUGAUGGAUGAUGUUUGGGACCCCCAUGUAUGGGAGAAGGUGCUCGAGCCUCCUUUGAUAAACUCACUUGCUCGAGGAAGCCGUGUUCUUGUAACAACAAGACAUGACAUGGUUGCUCGAGGCAUGACGGCGGAGGUGCCGUACCACCAUGUCAAGAAAUUAGAGCAUGAAGAUGCCUGGUCUUUGCUGAAGAAGCAGGUCCGUACAAUGUCAAUUCAUGUGUCUUACGUGUUUUGUUUUCAAGAAUGCAAUUUUACUUCUAAUAUGCAUAUCCUCCUGUUGCAGUAACUUCUAUGUCAUUAAUAAAUUUCUUUGCUAAUGUCUUACACCUUAUCUCGAAGAAAUCUUGGAUACGUUUUACAUGCACAAUGGCUAAUAGUAAUUUGCUAAAAGAUACUUAUAGUUUGAUGACAAGAGUUAAGUGGGGUGUUUUAGUGUUGGAAACAACUCAUGCAAGGAAUCCUUUAGUUAGAGCUUGUUCCAAUUCCUACUAUUUCUUAGAAGUAGUAAAACUAAAGUAAUGGCUCUUCAGUUCAAGUAGCCAGGAAGAAAUGCCCAAUGCUAAUGAUUAUAGCAUUUGAACUAUUUUCACUGUUACUGCACAUAAUGUGCAAAACUACAAUAAGGUGAAAACUGACCCUAGUUGGUAUUUUGAACAUUGAUUUUAUGAAUCAAGGAUCUUCAAAGUACUAUUAAAAUGUAACUUAUGAAAGUGCAGCACGCUUCAAUGAAAAAACUUAAAAAAGAACCAGCAUUACUAACAAGAAAAACUUGACUACAUCAAGGAACGUGUAUAAUGUUCUUAUUUCCUUAAUUACAUUGCAAAAAUGACGUUAGUUAAUUAUGAUUUGGCAUAGGUGCUAACAUACUAAACAUUGUUACAUUUAUACAUAGAUUCACAGAUGCUUCACUAACGAUGAAUUUAAGCUUUCUAAAGUUUUACUAUAUAACUUUCAGCAUUUAAAUUUUGUCAUAAAUAUAUUUACUCUGUGAGUCCAUCAGGCUCAACUCCACCCCCUAUGCAAUUUUCUAUUUUAAAAGAAAAAGUCUACUUAACACCUUACUCUUGGAAAUUGUAUAAUCCAGAGUCUCACCUAUAAACCAGUCACUACACUUUAAAUUAUUAUAUAUUAAAACCCAUCUAAAUAACCCUCAAAACAGAUUUGAAUGCAGUUUUUAUCACUCGCAUAUUACAUAUGUGCUGAUAUAGCGGUGACUCAAUAAAAAUGGGAAAAAUGUCUACACAGCCCCCCUAAUAUAUCAACCCUUAAUAUUUUACGAAGUUAUUACUCCUACUUUUUCUAGUUUUUGUCGUCUCACCGUCAUCUAGCACCGAAGUAAUUUGGCACAUUAGUGAAGCUGCCAUUAAAGCAAUCUUAGGGAUUACUUAGAUGGUUUUUAAUACUUUAAGGGAUAGAAUAUCUGAUAUUACAUGUGAGAGAGUGAUGUAAACAACUAUAAAUAGUUAUGGGGGAUUAAAUAAAUAGACUUUUUCAAUACUAAAACCAACCAUUUAUAUCAUGCGAAUUUACCCAACAACCGACAGAGUAGUCAAUGAAGAGUGGUUUAACAAGAGGCGGCAUGAUGGACUUUAGCCUUACAGAUUCACCUUCCUAAAAAUUCUUGAAAGUCCUUAUAUUUUGGGAGGGGAUUGACUUUUUAAUUUUCAAAAUUUAGGAACAUAAAAAUAAAAUUUUGAAAAUUUUAUUCUCUCUAAUAGUACUUUACAAAGAUUUUCCAAUAAAUUAAAUCCAUAUCAGCUAACCAUAUAAAGAUUGUGCAAGAGAACAAAAAUAGAGAAAGUCUAGCUUAUGAUCGAGACCAAGUCCACACUUCAAAAUAUAUGCAGACAGGCCGGUUUGGUUGGGUGGCUAAACCACCAAUAAAGCUUCAGAAAGUCACCUUUAGGCUGUUUCUUUGCCUGUUCGGAGUCCAAAGCUACGUUCCAUGGAGCCACCAACCACCCUCUAGCCAGGCUCUAGAAAAACACGGAGGGUGGUCAUUUUUUGGGAUCCUGGAUUGGCUUAGCUCUGGUGGCUGUUCUCCUCAGCUCCCAUAUCUGCGACGCUCACCCCUCCGAAUUCACCGACAGUAAGCUCCGCAUCUUCUCCAACUCCAGCAGACCGCAUCUGCUCCUCCUCCAGUGAUCCCCAUCUCCUCCUCCGGUGCUCCUCCCAUAUGCAAACUCCCAAGGCAAGCCCCCCGCGGCAAAGGCCCGGCCCGUUGCACGGCCAGGUGGCGUGCCCGGUAGCAAGAGCAUAGUCCUCCAGGCAGUGUCGCAGAGGUGCUCGCGAUGCUUGGUAGUUCCUCCUCUGAGCGGUGAAGAAGUUCCCCCACUAGUGCAACAUCAAUUGUGCUUCUUUGGUAUCAUAAAUGUUAUUUUAUUACAUAAAUAUAGUCAAACUUUAUAUAUUUUGACUCAUCAAAAAAAUUAGAAUAACUUAUAAUUUAAGAUAAAAGGAGUAUAUACGAUAUGGACAUGGACUGAUGAACAGUUCUUGUGGCUACAUUUAUCCCUACACUCUAACAUUACAACAAUGAGUGUCGUAUAAGAGCAAUAGAGUAUGGAACUGAACCUGAGACAAACCCGCAACAGGAGCCUGACUCAAUCAACUUGACAACCCAAGGCCGCUCAACAAUUAAGGAGGCUCAGGCCUAAUGUAUUGACCCAACAUGGGGCUUUGUCUCGGCUUACAAUGGCCCCAACUUCUUACCAUCCUUCCUAGCUCUGUCAACACAUAUAUGGGCCUACAAUGUCUUCACCUUUUUCAUCCUUCCUAGCUCCAUCAAUACAUGGGCCUACAACAGCCCUAAUUUCUUACCGAGCUCCACAUGUAUAUGUGGGCGAGACGACUCAUAGGCCCUGUUUGGUUGAGUUGUGACUUUUAUAAAAGCUGUUGUGAGCUGUGACUUUAAAAAACAUGUGAGAAAAGAAGCUUUGGUAAAAGAAGAAGACCGUUUGGUUGCGCAACUACGGCUUUGGAAAAACUAUAGAAUAUGGACCCAACAAGUCAUCCCCAACUAACUCAAUCCCUCUCUCACUAAAGAGUGGCCCCACUCGCCAGCCUCUCCUCUUCCUUGUUCCACUUUGUGCAGUGGGGCCUGGAGCCCAUCGGCCUAGACCUCGCUGGCCUUGCUCCACCGAGGAUGCAGAAAACACGCUGCUGUAGGGAGGAGGGAGAGGACGUGCAGCAGGAGCUCCCGCGCCCAACACCGCGCGUGGGAAGAAGAGGCUUGUGCCGGCCGCCGGAGCUCUCAUGUGCCCAAGCAGAGGCCCAAACCCGGCACCACACGUCGGAGGAAGAGGCCGCACUGGCCGUUGGUGCCCCUGUGCGCGCCUACGCAGAGGCCUGCGUCGGCCACUGGAGCUCCCUUGUGCGUCGUCCACUAGAGCUCUCGCGCUUGCCUGAGUAGAGGCCCGAUUCUUCUUCCUCUUUGUAUGGAGAGCAGUCGAGCUCGACCUAGGGUUGCGGGCCUGCAUGGUGGAGUCGGCUGGCCGCGGACCUGAGGUGGGGGCGUGCGGGCGCCGUCAAAGUGGGGCGGUGGCGAGGUUUGGGCCAUGCAGGUGGCGUUGGAGCAUGAUGCUUGCAAGGUAUCUAGGUGGCGCGGGUAGGAGUAGCAGACGAGAGAUGUCGCCGACUAGAAAGAACGACGAAAUAUCGAACCGGUAUGUUCAUAAUCAGUGGCAAGUGGGUAAUAUUUUACCCCCAAAAGCAGUUGAAAGUAGGUGGUGAGGUGCUUUUGAAGAUGUACUAUAGUGAAAACUGCUUUUGGGCAAAGGCAGUUGUGGCUUUUGGAUUCAUUGGUUGGCUUUUGGCUUUUGUAAAAAUAGAAGUAGGUUCAAAAGCCUAACCAAACGGGGCCUAGCUAGUUACUCUGUAGCGCUAUAAACACGCGGUUUUUUGCCCUAGCAAGUACGACUACAGGGAAAACACAAAUCAUACAUUGCAUCCACGUAGAGUAUCAUUUAUAUUACUUCCAGUUUUUUUCCUGAUCUAUAAGUUCGUUUCAUUUAAUUGGCUUAGCUGCUUGUAGGUGAUCGGGAAUGGAAAUAAUGAUGAAAAAAAUGUUGACAGACUUAAGUAGAUUGGAAUGGAAAUUAUAGAAAAAUGUGAUGGUUUGCCACUUGCUGUUAAAGUAAUGGGAGGCCUCCUACGCCAGAAAAAUACGAGACAAAGGGACUGGGAAAAAAUCCUAAAUGAUUCUAUAUGGUCAGUGUCCCAAAUGCCUGAAGAACUAAACUAUGCAGUAUACCUUAGCUACCAAGAUUUAAAUCCAAAUUUGAAGUCUUGCUUUCUGCACUAUGCCCUCCUCGCCAAGAACACAGUGUUCUAUGCCAACAACAUUGUUGCCAUGUGGAUUAGUGAAGGAUUUGUUCGUGGAAACAGCACAUGUGAUUUAGAAGCACUAGGAAAGGACUACCAUGGCCAGUUAAUAGCUUUUUUUUAGAUAAAGGAUAUAAAAUCCGGCCUCUACAUCCGAGGAUGUACACAGCCCAGUAUUACAGAGUUUUAUAAGAGAUAAACAAAGAGAGCCAAAGUCCUAUACAUGGACCAGGACGCUAGUUUAAACAAUAUAAAUGUUUCCAUCCUUUAUUGGAUAUCUCUAAAGCAAUUACUUCUAAUUUCUUGCUUAUCUUCGAGAGCACGUCCAUGGCUGUCUCAUCAUGCUGCAGCUGAGCCCAAAAGCAUAACCAGUACGCUCCCCUGAAAAUUACCUGCAUAAUAGAGUUAGUUUUCAUUUUAUUAAAAACAUAAUCAUUGCGGCAUCUCCAAAUAGCCCAAAGCAAAGCAGCCACCCCCACCCAAAUCAGAUCUCUAAUCUUUUUAUUUUAAUUAGAUAGCCAAGUACCAAACAUGUGGCUGAUUGAUCUAGGUUGGGUCAAACUAGUAGCAAAGAAGAUAAUCCUCCAAAUCAUUUUGGUAAAGAGACAGUCUAGGAAUAAAUGUUGAAUAGUUUCAUUCCCAUUACACCAAAUGCACUUCUGACUCCCUUUCCAAUUUUUCGUAGCAAGGUUGUCUUUGGUUAGGACGACACCCCUUUGCAGGAACCAAAGAAAAAUUUUAAUUUUUAGAGGUACCUUUAUCUUCCAGAUCUUCCUAUGCCGAAAGGGUGUAUGUGUAUCUAUAAGAUUGAGAUACAAGGAACGGACAGAGAAGAACCCUGAUCUGGUUAAACUCUAUCUGAAAUAAUCUGAACCAUCCACCAAUUCGACAUGGGAUAUCUUUGCCACUAGACUAAGCCAAUCUGUAAGUUUAUUAUCCACCAAGGCCCUCCUAAAAGAUAUGUUCAGAGGGUUCGUACUCAUCACUUUUGAGACUGUGGCGUGAGGAUCUCUCACUAUGUUAUAUAAAGAUGGAUAACUAGCUUUCAGAGACUUAGCCCAUACCCAUGUAUCAUCCUAAAACCUAGCUGCGGUUCCAUCUUUAAUAUGAAAAGAACCUUUUGCCAACACCUCAUCUUUGAUACGCAUGAGGCCUCUCCAAAAAUGGGAGUCAUUGGGCUUAGCUGUCACCUGGGAUAGGCUUUUGGAGUUUAGGUAUUUAUUCCUUAAAAGUGUUUGCCAUAUACCUUCUGUAUUCAAUAGAUUAACCAGCCAUUUGGCUAGGAGGCACUUGUUUUGCAAUUGUAAAUUUAGGAUACCUAAUCCUCCUUGAUCCUUAGGGCGGCACAGGAUGUCCCAUUUGGCAAGGCGAUAUAUAUGUUUAUCAGAAGAUCCUUGCCAAAAGAACCUUGAUCUAUAAUGAUCUAGGUUCUUUAAGACUCCCUUGGGAAUCUCAAAGAAAGACAUCAUGAACAUCGGCAGGCUACUUAGGACUGAAUUAAGCAGUACUAGUCUUCCCCCAUAAGACAGGUACUUCGCUUUCCAGCAAGAGAGUUUCUGUUUGAAACGAUCUUCUACUUUUCUCCAUUCAGAAUUAAGGAGUUGUCUAUGAUGCAUAGGGAUCCCAAGAUAUCGGAAGGGAUAUUCACCAGUAUUGCAUCCAAAGAGACUAGUAUAAAAGGAUUCCAUCUCUUUAUCAGCUCCAUAGCAGAAGACUUCAAAUUCUGUGCUUGUUCGAGGUUGUGAUCAAUAAAGAUAAUGGUGUCAUCUGCAUACUGUAAUAUGGACAGACCAUCAUCUAUAAGGUGGGGUAUAACACCUCUUAUCUGACCGUCGGCUUUUGCUCUGUUAAUAAGGAGAGCUAGCAUAUCUGCGACGAUGUUGAAUAAGAUUGGUGACAUUGGAUCUCCCUGUCUGAGUCCACGUUUGGUCUGGAAGUAGGGCCCUAUGUCAUCAUUGACUUUGAUUCCCACACUCCCACCUGUGACCAUAGUUUCUACCCAUCGACACCAUUUGGGGGAGAAACCUUUCAUACGUAGCGUUUGUUGUAAAAAAGACCACUUCACUUUGUCGUAUGCCUUUUCAAAAUCAAUUUUGAAAAUGACACCGUCUCUCUUUUUAGUGUGAAGCUCAUGGAUGGUUUCAUGUAAGAUGACGACCCCCUCCAUUAUAUUCCUGCCUGGCAUAAAGGCAGUUUGUGUUGGUCUCACUACAGUUUUAGCUACCAUAUUAAGCCUAUUUGUGCCCACUUUAGUGAAUAUUUUAAAGCUCACAUUAAGAACACAAAUUGGCCUGUAUUGCUGAUUUUUUAUGGCAUUAUUAACUUUUGGGAUUAAGGUAAUAAUACCAAAAUUCAGACUAUAUAGGUCAAGAGUCUUCCUAUACAGCUCAGUGAAUAAGGGAAGGAGAUCAUCCUUUAUCACUUCCCAAAACACCUGAUAGAAUUCCACCGGAAAACCAUCUGGUCCUGGAGCUUUAUUAUGCUCCAUUUGGAAGACCGCAUCCCUCACUUCAGAUUCAGUGAAAGGGCUAAUGAGGAUGUCAUUUUCCUCUGGAGAUACCUGUGGAAUAUCCAGGAUUUGGUCUUCCCUAAGGGAAAUCUCUACACUCUCCGGCUGUCCAAAGAGUUCUUUAUAGUAAGUCGUAAUAUGUCUUUUGAGAUUAUAAUCUCCUAUCACAGCACCUUGAUCAUUCUCAAGUUUAUAGAUAUGUUGCUUGCGAUGUUUCCCGUUGGCCACUAAAUGAAAGAACCGAGUGUUAGCAUCCCCUUCCAAUAGGGUUUUAACUUUGGCUCUCUGGUACCAUUUCAGUUCCUCCUCUAUCAGAAGGUUAACCAAACGCUCUUUUAGGUAAUGCUUCAGAUUGAUCUCUUGAUCACAUAAAGGAGAGAUCACAGCUUUCUUAUCAAUUUUCUCUAAAAGAGCUAACAAAGUCUUUUUUCUUUUCGAUAUGACCCUGCUGUGUGUUUUGCCUAUCCCCUUAGAUAUUGGCAGAGUCUACAAAUUUUAAACUGCCAUCGUUCAAGGGGAGUUGACCCAGAGCAUGGAGAUUGCCAAAUAUUUGCAACCAUAUCAUAAAAUCCAUCUCUUAUCAUCCAUCCUCUCUCAAAUUUGAAAAGGACUAUUGUGGGCCUGGUGGGUCGAAGCACCUGUAUUAAAAACCAGGGGGGUAUGGUCUGAAAUAUUACCAUCCCUUGGUUCUACUGUGGUUAAAGGAAACGUGAUUUCCAUUUCUGUGGUAACUAGGACUCUAUCCAACUUUUCAAAAGUUGGAUUAUCCCCUGGGCCAGUCCUUGUGUAUUGGCAGCCAGUCAUAGUAAUCUCCUUAAGAUCUAGAGAUUCAAUAAUAGCAUUAAAAAGAUCUGGCCAUUUAGGGUCAAAGUCCCCAGUACUUUUAUCUUCAGGGCAUCGCAUAAUAUUAAAAUCCCCUCCUAUGAUAUAUGGUAGGGAUUCUUUAGAGCACGUGUUAGCCAUUUCAACUAGGAAAUCACGCUUAUGCUGGAGUUGUGCUGGUCCAUAGACCGAAUAUAGCACAAACUUAGUCAUUUGAUUUGACUCUAAAGGUGAAUUUUACAUAAUAGUCUCCCUCCACAAUAGCUCCAAUGUCAAAGACAUUCAUGUUCACACCGAGCAAGAUACCCCCCGACCUACCGUGGGGUGCCAUAGUGUGCCAAUGGAAAUCAUGUCCUCCACAAAGAUUUUUAAGAACAUGAUCUGGGAAUGAGUCCCGCCCUGUUUCGGAAAGCGCAAUAAAAUUAAUCUGCUCUUCCUUAACUAGUUCAGCCAAAUACCUAUGCUUAGCCAAGUCUCCCAGACCUCUGCGAUUCCAGAAGACACCCUUCAUUUUAUGAUAAUUUUGGAAGGGGUUUUUGGUUUUUUAGGAAGUUUGCCUUUCAAAGUAUUUUUGGCAUUAUUGUAUUUUUUCUUCAUUGGGAGUGGAGAGAGAUCGAUUAAUUGAUCACUCUCAUCCUCCAGCAAAUUCCCAUUUAAAUUACCACAGGCGUGGCUGAGAAUUGCAUCAAUUUGGCUUUCUCGCUCAUCAUCACUCUCAAAAUUGGAGAGUCUGGAUUUGAUAGAGCAUUUUUUUUCAUUAGCACAUAAAACCAACCUAUCUACCUCUAAGUUUUUAAAACAGAGUACGUCUGAGGUAUCUAGGUUGAUGCCUAUCCUACCAAAGUUUGAAAUAACUUUAGGAUCUGGAAAGCUAGCGAAAGAGUUACCUGGAAAUUCGAAGUUCUUUUUCGCUGCCAUCCGUUCAACCUUGUGCAUAUCGUCCUGAAGAUUACCUAUGAAUUCAAGGUUCUUCUUUGCCGUCAGCCGUUCGGUCUUCUAUAGGGUAUGGACGUCGGCCAUCGCCGCAAUCCUGGAGCUCCGUCGCAACUCUUUAAUAGGAGGAGCAGCCGCUGGGGGUUUGAAAAACCCCACUGUCAGUGAAGCCUUGGCCAGCUGCGAAGGAGAUGCAGGGGACCUGGGUAGCGACGCAGCAGCAGCAGUGGCCGUCGCGGUCGUGGGGUCCUCCGUCGCCCUGAGAGGCGUGUCCCCAGCUGCAUGGGAGGCAGGGCGGGGUGCGGCUGUUGGCACACCUAUCUCCCCAACAGCCGUAGCACUGGCCACUGCGGCAUCUGGAGAAGCAGGCGAGGGGGCACCAAUCAUCGCGCCCUCCAACUCGGCACUUGGAGGAGUAGAAGGCGAGGGGGCAGCGGGCGAGACACCUCCCCUCACCCCUGCAGGAGCAGCACCACCCCUCACCUCGGCACUGUGAGCCGGUAGUGAAGGAGCCGCGAUAGUAGACUUCCUCACUAGCGGCCUGGUGGGUGCUGUCACCGACGCGACAGUGACUCCCAAUGACGCCACAGUGGAAGCAGAGACGGUGUCCGCAGGAGCCGUGACGUCCCCCAUCACCACACUAGUGGGGGCAGCAGAAGCGAGAGUAUCUCCUGGAACCUGGACAUCGCCCUCUCCCACCAGGGCCCGGUCCAGCACUGAGGAGACGUGGACCAGCGCGGAGGGGGCGUGGUCUAGUGUGGAGGUGGGGGGGGGGCAGUUGCUGAAGUAGAGCCCCUGUACUGUCCUAGACAAGAGCAGUAUCCGCCACCGCACAGCCCUGUAAGUCUGCAGCAACGUCUCCAACAGAGACAAGCGACGAUGGUAACACAGAAAUAGAAGAAGGGUGAAUAUGAUUAGGAUACUCAGCAAGGGCAUUAUAUGCUGCCAACUCUUCUUCCAUUAGGGGCGAAUAAGUCUUCAGUGUAGCCCCGUCAUCUGCUUCAAGCAUGACCUUAAGACUGAUCUCAUUUAGUAGCUGUUCGCAGCCCUGGUCCAGGGCCACUCCCACCAAUGAUGAUUGCUGCUGAUGUGGCAUGUUUUGGGGAGGUGCCUGAGACUUGUCAGAUAGAGUUUUCGGGUUAGGAUCUUGAGGUUUGGGAUACUCAUCCUCAGCAUCUUUCAUCACACGGUCUCCCCCAGAAAGAUUAUCAUCAUCACCCAACAGAUCAUCAUCAUCUGGGUCGGAGUCAUUAUUGUGGAUAGCUUCGUGAGUCUUGAACAAAAGACGGUAAACGCUAUUGCCAACACACACAUCAGCUUGCUUGGGGAUUUUUUUAACAUCAAGGACCGCUACUAGGAUGCGGACCUGACCAGUUGCGCGAAGGUGCACCAUGUCAACCUUUUGUGUGGCUCCCAUAAUGGACCCAACAGCCCAAAGAGGAAGAAACGAACGAAGAACACGGGGCACCUUGGUGACAGUCACCCAGACCUGCUCUAGCACUUUGAUCGGUUGGACAUCAUCAACAAAUUCUUCAAAUAUGAUGGUACCCUCUCUGUUCUUCGUGGUGAUCGUACGAAUGGCGAUCAUACGUUCCAGCUCUUCCAAACUUGGGAACGGGACAACAAAUGAUUUACCAUCUUGCUCCUGCACCUACCACACCCAAUGGACUGGAAUAAUCCUAGCCAGUUCUGCUUGAAGCAACUGAGCAGAUACCUCGCCUGCUUCCACAGUGAUGAGAGCUGUAGCUGAUGACUGAAUCGGAUUAACAAUUUGAUUGUUUUUGGCUGCUUGGAUCUGGAAAAAGCCCAUCCCAUCCUCGGCGGCGCCACAAUAAGCAACUGUUGGUUUGGGGCCCCGAAGCAGCGGACAUUGAUUUGUAUAGUGUUCCUCCAUACAGAUCGCGCAUUCCGGUUUCACCAGCAGCUCCUUGCGUUUCCUCUUCUGCUUGCCUUGUUCAUCAUCGGUAAUCUUCCGUGCAGCCUCCUCAGUGAAGGUGUUGUUGACAGAAGCCCGGCCGGCACCUUGGUUUACUUGAACGGUCCCAUCGAAGGCAUCAGCACGGCGCUGGGCACCCACUGCAGCCCUGUUGACCUCAUCGUGGUCCUGUGCAGCGAGUUUGGGGGCGGUGCGGCCAUGACCAUGCGCCUGUGGUCCAGCCCCACGACCAGGUUGUGUACCUCCACGACCAUGCCCAUGGCCAGCGUUCCUACCACGUCCGCGUGCAUCAACCGAGCCUCUUCCCCGACCGCGGCGGCGAUCAGGUUCCGCACGGUUCGGGGCAUGCCGGCCCCGAAACCUUCCAAGGUCACCACCAGCCAUCAGCGCGUCGCGGUAGGAGAUUCGCGGCGGAACUUUGGCGGCGAGGAAGAGGUGCGGGUUCACCAGGCGCCGCCUAGGUCUCACAAUUCUGUCUUUCGUGUCGAAGUCAGCAGGUUGCGUAGCCCUCUGAACGGGUCUAGGACCUUGGGCCACCAUCCGUUGAUGUUGUUGGUGGACUUGACUGGGCGCUGCCGGUCCAGGUCCCUCCACGUGGAGCGAGCGUUUCACAGUUUGAAAUCCCGUGGAGAUCGGAUCGCCGCCGUUGAGCCGAGCGCCGGACAUGGCGCGCUGGAUGAAAUCACUGAUGGACCUCGCUGGUGAAACCCGUCGAGGAGACAGCGGCCCCUUCCAGAUCCUCUUCCAUGGUGGUCUUGUGGAUGGGAAGACCUCCUGUAGCGUGGAAGCCAUCAUCCGCCUCCCGAGUUUAUGAUCGGGAGCGUGAGAAUCUGUCACCGUAAUUCUCUGAAGCGCCUUCCGGACUGAUGGCGCGAUGGUCACGGUGGGCAUUCUCCAUACGCAGUCAAUGGAUGGAAGAUUUGGCGGUGUGGUCUGCUGGCUCCCGCUGUCCGCCGGCCGCGCACGGCGCGCAGCGCAGCGCAGCCGCCGGGGCCGGGCGCCGACUACGGUCCACCGGAGGCGCGCACGCAGGGUCGCCGGCCGGUGUGCGGAGGUGGCUGGCAGGGUCGCGGAAACACGUCCUUGCCGGAUCUCCGCUUAGUACAUAUAUACACAAGUAACAAGCAAAGAAGAUCAAUCUAACCUGCAACUACAAGUACAUAUGAAUCUAACCUGCAAGGCUGCAACUGCGUUCGGCCAGUUAAUAGCUAGGAACCUUAUAGAGCCGGAUGAAUGGUACUUGGACCAGACAGUCUGCAAUAUGCAUGACGUUGUUCGCUCAUUUGCUCAAUAUGUGGCAAGAGAUGAAGCAGUGAUAGCUCAGAAAAUUGAAGUUGGC
rnacentral:lncRNA from 1 species